ACCACAGUGUCAAAACAUCUGACAUUUAUCAAUCCCUCCAAAAUAUGAAAAUAAAGAUUAAAACACAAACGCAGACAAAUGUAGAACAUAUAUAAAACAUAUGGUUGCCAUACAUAAAAACUAGAAAAAUUGCAUUUCCUUGCAGGAAAUGCUGAGUGCUUGAAAUCUGAAAAAGCAAUGCAAAACUGCUAAAAAAAAAUGGAGGAAGGUUUAAAUGUAAAAUUGGUUAAAGGGCUGGAGAAAGAGAAGUAGAAGUUGGAUGAAAGUGAAAAUUGCUGAAGUACAAACAGUAUGAAUGUGCUUCAUAAAUUAAAAUUGCAUUCAUGCUGAAUAAGACUAGAAAAACUGUCUGAAAUUGCAAAAAAAAUGGAUAAGGAAGAAAAUUACCUUAAAACUCAGAAAAGUGAUAAGUGGCAUAAGUUGAAGUUGAAGUACUACAAGUAGUAUGAUAAUAGGUAGUUGUAGUAGUGAUAUUAGUAGUCAUGUAAGCAGUAGAAGUAGUUUUAGAAUAUAAGAAGUAGAAGUCAAAGCAGUAGAGCUUGUGGUAGAAGUAAGAGUAGAAGUAAAAAAAAUAUUAAGAGAAGCAAGAGUAGUGGAGGUAGAAGUGAAGAUAGUUAAAGUGACAUAAGUAGUAAUUGUAGUGGUAGAACUGGGAUUUUGUUU
rnacentral:lncRNA from 1 species